rnacentral:rRNA from 1 species
GACGAACGCUGGCGGCGUGCCUAACACAUGCAAGUCGAACGGGACCGGGGGCAACUCCGGUUCAGUGGCGGACGGGUGCGUAGCACGUGAGGAACACAUCGGAAUCUACUCUGUCGUGGGGGAUAACGUAGGGAAACUUACGCUAAUACCGCAUACGACCUACGGGUGAAAGCAGGGGACCUUCGGGCCUUGCGGGAUUGAAUGAGCCGAUGUCGGAUUAGCUAGUUGGCGGGGUAAAGGCCCACCAAGGCGACGAUCCGUAGCUGGUCUGAGAGGAUGAUCAGCCACACUGGAACUGAGACACGGUCCAGACUCCUACGGGAGGCAGCAGUGGGGAAUAUUGGACAAUGGGCGCAAGCCUGAUCCAGCCAUACCGCGUGGGUGAAGAAGGCCUUCGGGUUGUAAAGCCCUUUUGUUGGGAAAGAAAUCCAGCUGGCUAAUACCCGGUUGGGAUGACGGUACCCAAAGAAUAAGCACCGGCUAACUUCGUGCCAGCCGCCGCAGUAA